rnacentral:rRNA from 1 species
GACGAACGCUGGCGGCGUGCUUAACACAUGCAAGUCGAACGGGCCUGUCUUCUUUUUUGGGGGGUGGGUUGAGUGGCGAACGGGUGAGUAUCACGUGAGUAACCUGCCCUUCGGUCCUGGAUAACCGCUUGAAAGGGCGGCUAAUACGGGGUGGUCCGGUUGGUCCGCAUGGGCUGGUCGGGAUAGAUUCACUGUUUUUGGUGUUUCGGCGGGGGAUGGGCUCGCGGCCUAUCAGCUUGUUGGUGGGGUGAUGGCCUACCAAGGCGGUGACGGGUAGCCGGGCUGGGGGGGUGGGCGGCCACACUGGGACUGAGAUACGGCCCAGACUCCUGCGGGAGGCAGCAGUGGGGGGUAUUGCACAAUGGGCGGAAGCCUGAUGCAGCGACGUCGCGUGAGGGAUGGAGGCCUUCGGGUUGUGAACCUCUGUUUCCGGUGGUGAAGGCCCUGUCCGUGUGGUGGGGUUGACGGUAGCCGGGGAUGAAGCGCCGGCUAACUACGUG